rnacentral:rRNA from 1 species
UACGUAGGGUGCGAGCGUUGUCCGGAAUUAUUGGGCGUAAAGAGCUCGUAGGCGGUCUGUCGCGUCGAUCGUGAAAACUUGGGGCUUAACCCUGAGCUUGCGGUCGAUACGGGCAUGACUGGAGUUCGGCAGGGGAGACUGGAAUUCCUGGUGUAGCGGUGAAAUGGCGCAGAUAUCAGGAGGAACACCGGUGGCGAAGGCGGGUCUCUGGGCCGAUACUGACGCUGAGGAGCGAAAGCGUGGGGAGCGAACAGG